rnacentral:rRNA from 1 species
AACGAACGCUGGCGGCAUGCCUAACACAUGUAAGUCGAACGAGACCUUCGGGUCUAGUGGCGCACGGGUGCGUAACGCGUGGGAACCUGCCCUUAGGUUCGGAAUAACUCCCCGAAAGGGGUGCUAAUACCGGAUAAUGUCUUCGGACCAAAGAUUUAUCGCCUUUGGAUGGGCCCGCGUUGGAUUAGCUAGUUGGUAGGGUAAAAGCCUACCAAGGCGACGAUCCAUAGCUGGUCUGAGAGGAUGAUCAGCCACACUGGGACUGAGACACGGCCCAGACUCCUACGGGAGGGAGCAGUGGGGAAUAUUGGACAAUGGGCGAAAGCAUGAUCGAGCUAUGCCGCGAGAGUGAUGAAGGCCUUAGGGUUGUAAAGCGCUUUUACCCGGGAUGAUAAUGACAGUACCGGGAGAAUAAGCUCCGGCUAACUACGUG